rnacentral:rRNA from 1 species
UGAACGCUGGCGGCGUGCCUAAUACAUGCAAAUCGAGCGAACAGACGAGGAGCUUGCUCCUCUGACGUUAGCGGCGGACGGGUGAGUAACACGUGGAUAACCUACCUAUAAGACUGGGAUAACUUCGGGAAACCGGAGCUAAUACCGGAUAAUAUAUUGAACCGCAUGGUUCAAUAGUGAAAGACGGUUUUGCUGUCACUUAUAGAUGGAUCCGCGCCGCAUUAGCUAGUUGGUAAGGUAACGGCUUACCAAGGCGACGAUGCGUAGCCGACCUGAGAGGGUGAUCGGCCACACUGGAACUGAGACACGGUCCAGACUCCUACGGGAGGCAGCAGUAGGGAAUCUUCCGCAAUGGGCGAAAGCCUGACGGAGCAACGCCGCGUGAGUGAUGAAGGUCUUCGGAUCGUAAAACUCUGUUAUUAGGGAAGAACAAAUGUGUAAGUAACUAUGCACGUCUUGACGGUACCUAAUCAGAAAGCCACGGCUAACUACGUG